rnacentral:misc_RNA from 1 species
CAACGGCAUCUACGGUUACGGGUGAAAAAGAUUAUCAUAUGGAGAUGGAGUAACAGACAGAAGAUUUUGCGAGCUUCUUCGUUCCUCUUUCCCCACCGCAGUUGCUGCUGCUGCUGCUGCUGCUGCAAACUCACACCCACCACUCUAGACGUCGCUUUUUUACUUCCUGGGAUCUAUUUGAUUUAAAUUAAUUUAUAUUACUUACUAGAUUUGGGGGCCAAUAUGAACUUUUUAAACUCAUGAGGACAAAAGCGCGUCUCUCUUAGUCUUGGCCGUUUCUUUUUUUCUUCUCUUCCCUUCUCUCUCUCUCUCGAGAAUUGAAGGAAAGAGAUCCCUCUGCCAGCAUAAAUAAACAGAUCGUCGGCAAUUUGAAAAAUAAAAGCAAAUUCGGAGAUGGACAGCGAAAGCAAGAAGUCGGCGGUAUCGGAUGUUGGAG